CUUAGAGUAAUUAUACCUAGAGAGGAAUUUCGUACGAUAAAAUGUGGUCCCGACAUCAGUUUGUGUAAGAUUCACAUUUCGUACAAUUUUACGUAGAGCUUUUCACUAACACAUGUAGGCGUUGGAAAAUGAUUUUAUUUUAUUUAAAUUUU